GGCCUCCCAUUCUUGCCACAGGUUGUGUUUUUUACACUGACUGUAUAGAAAGAGAAAGUACAAUAAAUGCACCUCAUAUACACCUCAACCCAGGCCAUUUACAUUGUCUGUAUUGUAAAUUGGGGGCCAUAG